rnacentral:rRNA from 1 species
AGGGUGUAAACGCUGCAGACUUGGUGUUGGAGGCCCUUUGGGGGCAUUCAGUGCCGGAGAGAAGUUGUUAAGUCUGCUACUUGGGAGUACGUCCGCAAGGAUGAAACUUAAAGGAAUUGGCGGGGGAGCACCGCAACGGGAGGAGCGUGCGGUUUAAUUGGAUUCAACACCGUAAAACUCACCAGGGAAGACUGUUACAUGAAGGCCGAGAUGAAGACUCUGCUAGAUUUUCAGAGAGGUGGUGCAUGGCGUCAGUGACU